AGUGAACGCUGGCGGUAGGCCUAACACAUGCAAGUCGAACGGCAGCACAGGAGAGCUUGCUCUCUGGGUGGCGAGUGGCGGACGGGUGAGGAAUACAUCGGAAUCUACUCUGUCGUGGGGGAUAACGUAGGGAAACUUACGCUAAUACCGCAUACGACCUACGGGUGAAAGCAGGGGACCUUCGGGCCUUGCGCGAGUGAGUGAGCCGAUGUCGGAUUAGCUAGUUGGCGGGGUAAAGGCCCACCAAGGGGACGAUCCGUAGCUGGUCUGAGAGGAUGAUCAGCCACACUGGAACUGAGACACGGUCCAGACUCCUACGGGAGGCAGCAGUGGGGAAUAUUGGACAAUGGGCGCAAGCCUGAUCCAGCCAUACCGCGUGGGUGAAGAAGGCCUUCGGGUUGUAAAGCCCUUUUGUUGGGAAAGAAAUCCAGCUGGCUAAUACCCGGUUGGGAUGACGGUACCCAAAGAAUAAGCACCGGCUAACUUCGUGCCAGCCGCCGCAGUAA
rnacentral:rRNA from 1 species